rnacentral:rRNA from 2 species
UGACUGCGUACCUUUUGUAUAAUGGGUCAGCGACUUAUAUUCUGUAGCAAGGUUAACCGAAUAGGGGAGCCGGAGGGAAACCGAGUCUUAACCGGGCGUUAAGUUGCAGGGUAUAGACCCGAAACCCGGUGAUCUAGCCAUGGGCAGGUUGAAGGUUGGGUAACACUAACUGGAGGACCGAACCGACUAAUGUUGAAAAAUUAGCGGAUGACCUGUGGCUGGGGGUGAAAGGCCAAUCAAACCGGGAGAUAGCUGGUUCUCCCCGAAAGCUAUUUAGGUAGCGCCUCGUGAAUUCAUCUCCGGGGGUAGAGCACUGUUUCGGCUAGGGGGCCAUCCCGGCUUACCAACCCGAUGCAAACUGCGAAUACCGGAGAAUGUUAUCACGGGAGACACACGGCGGGUGCUAACGUCCGUCGUGAAGAGGGAAACAACCCAGACCGCCAGCUAAGGUCCCAAAGUCAUGGUUAAGUGGGAAACGAUGUGGGAAGGCCCAGACAGCCAGGAUGUUGGCUUAGAAGCAGCCAUCAUUUAAAGAAAGCGUAAUAGCUCACUGGUCGAGUCGGCCUGCGCGGAAGAUGUAACGGGGCUAAACCAUGCACCGAAGCUGCGGCAGCGACACUCAGGUGUUGUUGGGUAGGGGAGCGUUCUGUAAGCCUGCGAAGGUGGCCUGUGAGGGUUGCUGGAGGUAUCAGAAGUGCGAAUGCUGACAUAAGUAACGAUAAAGCGGGUGAAAAGCCCGCUCGCCGGAAGACCAAGGGUUCCUGUCCAACGUUAAUCGGGGCAGGGUGAGUCGACCCCUAAGGCGAGGCCGAAAGGCGUAGUCGAUGGGAAACGGGUUAAUAUUCCCGUACUUGGUGUUACUGCGAAGGGGGGACGGAGAAGGCUAUGUUGGCCGGGCGACGGUUGUCCCGGUUUAAGCGUGUAGGUGUGUGUUCCAGGUAAAUCCGGUUCACUUUAACACUGAGGCGUGAUGACGAGGCACUACGGUGCUGAAGCAACAAAUGCCCUGCUUCCAGGAAAAGCCUCUAAGCAUCAGGUAACAUCAAAUCGUACCCCAAACCGACACAGGUGGUCAGGUAGAGAAUACCAAGGCGCUUGAGAGAACUCGGGUGAAGGAACUAGGCAAAAUGGUGCCGUAACUUCGGGAGAAGGCACGCUGACACGUAGGUGAAGUGAUUUACUCAUGGAGCUGAAGUCAGUCGAAGAUACCAGCUGGCUGCAACUGUUUAUUAAAAACACAGCACUGUGCAAACACGAAAGUGGACGUAUACGGUGUGACGCCUGCCCGGUGCCGGAAGGUUAAUUGAUGGGGUCAGCGCAAGCGAAGCUCCUGAUCGAAGCCCCGGUAAACGGCGGCCGUAACUAUAACGGUCCUAAGGUAGCGAAAUUCCUUGUCGGGUAAGUUCCGACCUGCACGAAUGGCGUAAUGAUGGCCAGGCUGUCUCCACCCGAGACUCAGUGAAAUUGAACUCGCUGUGAAGAUGCAGUGUACCCGCGGCAAGACGGAAAGACCCCGUGAACCUUUACUAUAGCUUGACACUGAACAUUGAGCCUUGAUGUGUAGGAUAGGUGGGAGGCUUUGAAGUGUGGACGCCAGUCUGCAUGGAGCCGGCCUUGAAAUACCACCCUUUAAUGUUUGAUGUUCUAACGUGGACCCGUGAUCCGGGUUGCGGACAGUGUCUGGUGGGUAGUUUGACUGGGGCGGUCUCCUCCUAAAGAGUAACGGAGGAGCACGAAGGUUGGCUAAUCCUGGUCGGACAUCAGGAGGUUAGUGCAAUGGCAUAAGCCAGCUUGACUGCGAGCGUGACGGCGCGAGCAGGUGCGAAAGCAGGUCAUAGUGAUCCGGUGGUUCUGAAUGGAAGGGCCAUCGCUCAACGGAUAAAAGGUACUCCGGGGAUAACAGGCUGAUACCGCCCAAGAGUUCAUAUCGACGGCGGUGUUUGGCACCUCGAUGUCGGCUCAUCACAUCCUGGGGCUGAAGUAGGUCCCAAGGGUAUGGCUGUUCGCCAUUUAAAGUGGUACGCGAGCUGGGUUUAGAACGUCGUGAGACAGUUCGGUCCCUAUCUGCCGUGGGCGCUGGAGAACUGAGGGGGGCUGCUCCUAGUACGAGAGGACCGGAGUGGACGCAUCACUGGUGUUCGGGUUGUCAUGCCAAUGGCACUGCCCGGUAGCUAAAUGCGGAAGAGAUAAGUGCUGAAAGCAUCUAAGCACGAAACUUGCCCCGAGAUGAGUUCU